rnacentral:rRNA from 1 species
AUUGAACGCUGGCGGCAUGCCUUACACAUGCAAGUCGAACGGCAGCACGGGUGCUUGCACCUGGUGGCGAGUGGCGAACGGGUGAGUAAUACAUCGGAACAUGUCCUGUAGUGGGGGAUAGCCCGGCGAAAGCCGGAUUAAUACCGCAUACGAUCUACGGAUGAAAGCGGGGGACCUUCGGGCCUCGCGCUAUAGGGUUGGCCGAUGGCUGAUUAGCUAGUUGGUGGGGUAAAGGCCUACCAAGGCGACGAUCAGUAGCUGGUCUGAGAGGAGGACCAGCGACACUGGAACUUGGACACGGCCCAGACUCCUACGGGAGGCAGCAGUGGGGAAUUUUGGACAAUGGGCGAAAGCCUGAUCCAGCAAUGCCGCGUGUGUGGAGAGGGCCUUCGGGUUGUAAAGCACUUUUGUCCGGAAAGAAAUCCUUGGCCCUAAUACGGUCGGGGGAUGACGGUACCGGAAGAAUAAGCACCGGCUAACUACGUG